rnacentral:rRNA from 1 species
GGGCCCGCACAAGCAGCGGAGCAUGUGGUUUAAUUCGAAGCAACGCGAAGAACCUUACCAGGUCUUGACAUCCAACGAACGAAGUAGAAAUACAUUAGGUGCCUUCGGGAGCGUUGAGACAGGUGGUGCAUGGUUGUCGUCAGCUCGUGUCGUGAGAUGUUGGGUUAAGUCCCGCAACGAGCGCAACCCUUACGGAUAGUUGCCAGCAAGUUAAGUUGGGCACUCUAUCGGGACUGCCGUGGAUAACACGGAGGAAGGCGGGGACGACGUCAAAUCAUCAUGCCCCUUAUGACCUGGGCUACACACGUGCUACAAUGGCUGUGACAAAGAGAAGCGAAGUCGUAAGGCGGAGCGGAUCUCAAAAAAGCAAGUCCCAGUUCGGAUUGUGGGCUGCAACCCGCCCACAUGAAGUUGGAGUUGCUAGUAAUCGCGAAUCAGCACGUCG